rnacentral:rRNA from 1 species
GCAGGUGGUCAUACCAGCUUGUCAAAGAAUGAUCUCAUCAGGCCGGGCCUGGUUAGUACUUGUAAUGGGAGACCGCUGGGAAUACCAGGUGCCACAGUU